rnacentral:tRNA from 1 species
GGGGUCGUGGCUCAGUGGUAGAGCACUCGCGGAGCACGUGUGAGGCACUGGGUUCGAUCCUCAGCACCACA